rnacentral:lncRNA from 1 species
CAAAGGGUCAGAGCCUACGAAAGAAGUAAAUUAUGCAGCUUGCUUUGUUUGUAGGCAUGGAUCUCUCUGUUUCCCUCCCUUCUGCCAUCAAAUGGAUGUGCUUUUUGGAUAUUGCUUCACUACAGAGGCUGUCGUGUGCCAGAGCCUGCUCAGAGGAUCCCAAACCAUGGCAGAAUUCCAUGGCAUCUCCUGGCCUCAGGUGCAGCUCCAGGACACUUUCCCACCAUUGCUGAGACCCUCAGGCCCUUUGUUGAUGAGAAGGCUGCUGGCAGAGACACACCUGCAGGAUCUAUGAACUCUUACUGAGGCAGAGAUCAGGCACCACCAGAAGAGCUGGGUGCCUGCACAGCCACAGGAGUUCAUCGCUGCAUGCCUGAAUGAGAUGUUAAAGGUAACUAGUAAUUGUCUCUUAGGCAGCUGCUACAUAUUUCAAAUGCUUCUAGUUAAAGUAAUGCCAGCAGCACUCCUCCUUCCUCUCCUCCUUUUCUUCCUGAGAGACUGUUGAGCUAUUUCUUUCUUUGAAUUCAACCUAAAACAUAAAGAGAGUGAUGUUGUUCCAUUCCAGACUGAAAGAAAACCUACUGUGUGCUGUCUCCCUGUUUUGCAAGAUCAUAUUUUUUAACAGAACAACAAGGCUGCUGUCUUAUCAGCUCCACCAACUUGGUAUGGAGCCUGUGAUGAAAAACAGAUCUGUUGCUGGGAAUUUGCUACACCAUUAAAACAGUCUUAAAUCUCACUGCCUGUGUCCUACCUGCAGGCAGACGAUGGCAUGCUCUCUGCAUUCAGAGUGCAGUGAUCACAGAUCUCUUCAGAGCAGGCUCACACACCUUCACUUUAUGCUGAGCACUCCAUGAUGGUGUAUCUGGAAGCACAAGGUGGGAAAUGUGUGUAGCUGCACUUAGAUAUGUUGUGUCCUUGCUCAUGGCCCAUGUCGAUUCAGCUACCCUGAUCCUCCACUGUAAGGUGGCUUGGGGAUUUCAAGUUUCUGCACAGAGUGUGCACUUUAACAAUUCUUGAAUGCUCAUUAUUAGUCCUUUUUUUAAAAUUCAGAAUGACUCCAAGAGGUGUCAC